GGGUUGUGAGGUUAAGCGAAUAAGCGUACACGGUGGAUGCCUAGGCAAUCAGAGGCGAUGAAGGACGUGCUAAUCUGCGAAAAGCGUCGGUAAGGUGAUAUGAACCGCUAUACCCGACGAUAUCCGAAUGGGGAAACCCAGUAUCCAAUGGAUACUAUCAUUAACUGAAUCCAUAGGUUAAUGAGGCGAACCGGGAGAACUGAAACAUCUCAGUACCCCGAGGAAAAGAAAUCAA
rnacentral:rRNA from 1 species